UACGUAGGGUGCGAGCGUUGUCCGGAAUUAUUGGGCGUAAAGGGCUCGUAGGCGGUCUGUCGCGUCGGGAGUGAAAACUCGGGGCUUAACUCCGAGCCUGCUUCUGAUACGGGCAGACUAGAGGUAUGCAGGGGAGAAUGGAAUUCCUGGUGUAGCGGUGAAAUGCGCAGAUAUCAGGAGGAACACCGGUGGCGAAGGCGGUUCUCUAGUACGGUACUGACGCUGAGACGCGAAAGCGUGGGGAGCGAACAGG
rnacentral:rRNA from 1 species